GAUGAACGCUGGCGGCGUGCCUAAUACAUGCAAGUCGAGCGAACAGACGAGGAGCUUGCUCCUCUGACGUUAGCGGCGGACGGGUGUGUAACACGUGGAUAACCUACCUAUAAGACUGGGAUAACUUCGGGAAACCGGAGCUAAUACCGGAUAAUAUAUUGAACCGCAUGGUUCAAUAGUGAAAGACGGUUUUGCUGUCACUUAUAGAUGGAUCCGCGCCGCAUUAGCUAGUUGGUAAGGUAACGGCUUACCAAGGCAACGAUGCGUAGCCGACCUGAGAGGGUGAUCGGCCACACUGGAACUGAGACACGGUCCAGACUCCUACGGGAGGCAGCAGUAGGGAAUCUUCCGCAAUGGGCGAAAGCUUGACGGAGCAACGCCGCGUGAGUGAUGAAGGUCUUCGGAUCGUAAAACUCUGUUAUUAGGGAAGAACAAAUGUGUAAGUAACUAUGCACGUCCUGACGGUACCUAAUCAGAAAGCCACGGCUAACUACGUG
rnacentral:rRNA from 1 species